GUUUCUUUCAUCAGUGUUUAUAAUCUCCCGUGUAUAGAUCUUGCACUUAUUUGGGUAAUUGAUUCCUCAGUAUUUUAUAUUCUCUGUAGCUAUUACAAAUUAGAUUGCUUUCUUAAUUUAUUUUGCCAUUUGUUCAUUGUUAGCAUAUAUAAAUAUUACCAGUUUUUGUAGGUUGGUUUUGUAUUCUGCAAACUUUACUGAAUUCAUUUAUUGGUUUUAACAGUUGUUUGGUGGAAUCUAGAUAUAAAAUAUAAAAUCAUGUCUACUACCACCAAGGCUAAUUUGACUUCUUCCUUUCCAGUCUGGAAGCCCUUUAUUUCUUUCUCUUGCCUAAUUGUUCUGACCAGGGUUUCCAGUAUUAUAUUGAAUAAAUGUCGUAAAAGUGGAAAUCAUUGUGUUUUUCAGGUUUGGGAGAAACAGACUUCAAUUUCCCCCAUUCAAUCGAUCCUUAGCUGUGGAUUUGUCAUCUACGACCUUUGUUGUUUUGAGAUUUUAGGGCAUGAAAACCUUCAAGGAAUGUGCUGAAUCAUCUGACUCAUAAAGCUCUAAAGAGGUAGAGGGGAGUAAAAUGUAAGGAAC
rnacentral:lncRNA from 13 species